rnacentral:lncRNA from 1 species
UUGCGUUUGAAAGAUCCCGCCAACAGACGCCUGCCAGCUAGCGCGCCAGAAGUCUAAAGACGGGGCUUAGGUCCGGACCCGUUAGUCAGCGAAAUCUUCAGUCAAAGAAUGUCUGGGGAAAAUUUUCUACAACCCUUUCACAACACACAAUGGUGGUGUGAGACACGAGUGACUCAAAUUGUCACCAUAAUCCGCCUUCUACUGAGGCCCUCGUCAUGGCAGUCAUCUUUCUAUCGUCACCAUAACUCUCAGCACGACGGUCUGACGGUUGCUGCCGCCAUGUUUGUAACAUUCCACAGACCUGGAUUUGUGAACCUAGACAAAUGACUUGGGGAGGAUUCCAGUCCGACAGUGAAGUGAGAAACCACCAUGGUAUGCAAAGCAGUAAACAACGUUUGACGGUAAGAAACUCUUGUUGAUCGAGGAUGGAGAGAGGAGAAGAGGGUCGACGUUUCGAGUCAAAAGAAAUGAAUGACCCCGUCACCUGACUGUGGAGCAGAGCAAACCUCUAAUCCAUUGGGAACAUAUUAGAAGGAAAUGAACCUCCACAGCCACCUACACAAGCCGAACAGCCUCCGACCUUUCCACAGACCAAAAGAAUGUUCCUGCUAGAUGUUGUUGGGAUUUGAAUGAGGAGCCAACCCAGAACGACAAAUACCGCCAUCUGUUUUACUUGUAAUGUUAAUCACAAAGCUGACAGGUUUGAUGACUGUUUUCCCCUGGAGCAUACCUAGACUGAUUAUCUCAGCCAAGCUCAACAACCGGGACAUUCACCAAGAGGGAAGCCCCAUGACAUCUAAAGCAGUGAGCAAUUAAUUCUUUAAGAGAGGAAAAGGUAAGUUGAUGUCGUGAAAAGUUUAAACUUUUAAAUUACUUUUGGGAAUUAUUUUGCGCUUUGUUUUCUAAUCGUGUCCAAUGUCACAUUCAUCUGUAACACAUUAAAAUCCGUAUACACAUAUUCUUUUGUGUGUUUACUGAUAAGGGGUUGGGGGAGAAAAAGCUAUUGUAAGUUCACUUUUCGUGUUGAUGGGAAACUUUUUAUAAAACUGUUACAUAAAGGUGGCUUCAUCUUCUCAUUUCGCGUUCAGUUUAGACUUUGAAACUGAGAUGCAUUUCGUGAAUAUUUUAUUGCAGUAUUAAUUCUGCGUUGGAUCGUGACAACCUCAGCGAGAGAUGACCAUCUGAAAUUUCUACAACUUUCAAGUAGAAACACCUAAGAACUUUAACGCAAAAGAAACUACGUUUAUUUUCUUUAUAUUUUUUUGGCUUUUUGUGUGUUUAAUUCUGUUUUUGUCUUGGGAACAGUAUGUGCAUCUGUAUGUAUGUUUACUCACACAAACAAACAAUUAUAUACACAAACAUACUUCUCUCUCUCUCUCACACACACGAACUUUCAAAAUUUUUCACAAUCUGCGUUAGAGUCUUCACAGACAUUUCAGACGACAAUAGUUGAUGACAGGAUAUGGCAGAGGAGAAAACAAGCAAAAUAAAAAUAAUAAACAACUUUAUGAAUCCCAGAAGGCAAUUAUAUUCUUAUGUUCUGUUACAAAAAUAGACAAGUGUUAGUUGCGGGAAAAAACAUAAGGACUAAAAGGUUGUGCAUCAUAGAACACUUCACAACAUGCAAACUAAUCUUACAUCACACAUCCAUGUAAACAAACAACUGACGAUUCCAUCUAUAAAUGGCCAGGAAAAAAGCAGUAAACAGUAAAGUCCCUCAACACUUUAUCAAAGGGAUUGGGAAAGCAAAGUGCCUCAACCAAUGGACAAUUACUUGUCAUGCCCUUUGCUCUAGAAAUGCAUGUAGAUGCAUGUGAUUUACUCCUCUAGAUGAAACUUCUCCGUUCAAUAAGGCAUUGUCAUCAAGUGUCAAAGGAGAGUAUAUUAACACUGACACUUUACCCCCCUGCAACCAAUGAUUAUCAUAUCAGAAGCGCGGUCACACACACACAAGGUACGUCUACUUUGUGUUACAAUAUUUCGGAAUUUUAUCUGCAAGUACAAUGUAAUAACCUGGAAAACUGCCCUUGGAUGACCAUUAUUUAACACAAUAUUGCAGGAAAAUGCUAUAUGUCUACAUGUUAGUCAGCGCGCAAAUAGAAUACGAUAUGAAGUCAGCCGUCUGUCCUUCUACCAACUGUGGUGGUUGUUGGCAGACUUCCGUUAUCUACAUCCCACGUCACGACAGUUUCCAGAGUCGUCUGUCGUAAAACAUGUCGUAAUUCCAUGAGUUCGACUAAGCAGCGACUUGCAAACAGUCCUCAGUGUCUUCGUCUUUGUUGUCAGUUCACCUGGUACACCACACGAGCAGUCUGGUGCGAGGGAGGAAUUCUACUCAUGUGUAAACAUUGGUAGAAGCUAAAUAUAGACCGGAAAUUCCCAUUUCUCUAGAGCUGCGCUAUUUUAAAGUCACAAAGCAAGUUUACAAGCUGCUAUGGCUCUGUCACAAGGUGUGUAUAGUGUUUGAUGUCAAGAUCUUUUAUACUACAUUAAAUAUAUAUGUGCAAUCAUUUCCAGGUGAAUGCAGUUUUAUUCAUUUGUUCAGAAAAUAAACUGAUCAGGUAGAGUCGACAUAAGAAACGUGGAGAACUUUAUACAAGUAUCUUCCCCUCCAGACACCUAUCGUCAAAACACAGCCCCGGGGAACUGGUCUCAUGGGGAACAUUGGCACAGUCGCAUUCAACAAGGGAUGCUAUUGGUCAGCCACUCACCCAGAAUUCUUCAUCUAGUCAACAAGUAGUCAGCACGGACAAGGGGAAGACCACCUCCUGUUGACCCUCGGACCCGACUAUAGGGGGCAGGUGGAGUUAAAGUCCCUUAAGACGAGAUUCUUCAUGAGAAGAACACGCGGAUGACCCUCCAGACCAUCGCCGCUGUUUCUACAAUGCCCUCAGCCAUUCUGCCAAAAUGUCUUUGAGUCCAGCAGGAGCUGAACUGAUGAUGUCAUCGAUAGUUUGACCGGCAGACCUCAAGUUGUCUCCCCCGGUGAAGACGACGACCAUGUACUUAGUGACCUCCUUAUCAAAGAUUGCAACGAGUCGUUUG